GACGAACGCUGGCGGCGUGCCUAAUACAUGCAAGUCGAACGCAGUGGGGACGGGUGAGUAACACGUGGGUAACCUCCCAUCAGAGGGGAUAACACUUGGAAACAGGUGCUAAACCGAUACUGAUGGAUGGACCCGCGGGGCAUUAGCUAGUUGGUGAGGUAACGGCUCACCAAGGACACGAUGCAUAGCCGACCUGAGAGGACGAUCAGCCAGACUGGGACUGAGACACGGCCCAGAUGCCUACGGGAGGCAGCAGUGGGGAAUUUUGGAUAAUGGGGGAAACCCUGAUACAGCCAUCCCGCGUGUAUGAUGAAGGCCUUCGGGUUGUAAAGCACGUUUGGCAGAGAAGCGGUAUCUGCAGAAUAAGCACCGGCUAACUACGUGCCAGCAGCCGCGGUAAUAC
rnacentral:rRNA from 1 species